UUUGCUAGUUGCUUUUGUCCCGC
rnacentral:miRNA from 1 species